GGCUGCUAUUAUAACAUGUCCAUGUACUUCAUGAGGAUGUAAUCUCAGCCAGGUUAAUGACUUCUCUAAGUCCCAAAGUAAACACAUAGGAAGUAUCCCUAAUGUGCCAGGCAUGGUCCUGCGUGUUAGGGUUGUAGAGAUGAGGAGAACAGAUGUGCUUCCUGCCCUCACAGAGUCUACAAUCCAGUGGGGAAGAGAGAUACUGAGCAGGGGCCAUGAUUGAUAUGGAGAGAACAGCUUGUGUGUAGGGGAGAUGUGUAUUUCACGAAGACUGUUCAACAUGAAAUUUACAGUCCCAUAAAGUGCUUCUACAUCUUCGCCAGAGAUCUAGUUAAAAGGACUUUACAGUCUGAAACAUCCUAAAAUUGAUUCUAAAUUAACGUUUCCUCACAUGUAUUUGAGAUAUUGAUGGGGCCCAGCUAUCAGAAUUUUAUUAGGAAGCAAUAAUCUGAGGCACACUGAGACAGACAUACAUACACACCAACCUCCACUACUCCCCAGAGGACACUGGAUAUGCGCUCUCAGGAAGGGCGUCCACGUAGCCUCAGGGAUGGAGACAACCACGAAAUCCUGUCAGCCUUAACAGCCAGGAAAGGAAAACCCACAAAUGGCAGCUUUAAAGGUCACAGCGAUUCAGGUGUCCAUCAGUGAGUAUGUGGGGCAGGCCCAUCACGUGGCACUGUGUGAGGCGCUGUGGGACAUGCGGGGAUGAAUACAGCACUGCCAGGGCCCUUGAGGAGCCCCAGAUCUUGUGACAGUGGAAGAACAUGAGACUUGGAGUCAGACUGGGAGCCAAGGAGAGAGGCCUCAGGAGAAACCAGUCCUGCAACCCCUUGAUCUCAGACACCUUGACCAGAACCUCCAGACUGUGAGAUAACCAAUAUCCAUUGUUUAAGCCACCCAACCUAUUGUGCUUUGUGAUGGCAGCCCCAGCAAACUCCUACAUCACCCUCACUUAAUUUAUCUGUUUUAGGCAGUAUUUAUUUCUUACUCUGACAGUUGAGGAAUUAGCUUUCUCGUACCAUGCUAACUUCCAUUUUUUCUUCUCCCCUUAUCCUCAUAAUAUAGUUUUCCACAAUUUAUAGUUAAAUCAAUAGUUAGUGUUUACAUUAUUGAUGAGGUAAAUAAAUACUGUCCACUCAA